UACGGAGGGAGCUAGCGUUGUUCGGAAUUACUGGGCGUAAAGCGCACGUAGGCGGCUUUGUAAGUUAGAGGUGAAAGCCCGGGGCUCAACCCGGGAAUUGCCUUUAAGACUGCAUCGCUUGAAUCCGGGAGAGGUGAGUGGAAUUCCGAGUGUAGAGGUGAAAUUCGUAGAUAUUCGGAAGAACACCAGUGGCGAAGGCGGCCACCUGGACUGCACCUGACGCUGACACGCGAAAGCUAGGGGAGCGAACGGG
rnacentral:rRNA from 1 species